AUCCUUUCGGCUACUUUUUAUUCUAGAGUCACAACAUGAAUGGACAGUCCAGCAAGGACACGGUUCUGCGUCUACGAAUGUGGAUAUUGCAGGAGCGCAGGAAAAUGAUCACGGGAAUACAUGUAGUUGGCGACAAACAAUGAUUGGACAGUCCAGCAAACAACAGCAUUGUUGGAUGCCAUUACAGAACACUUUGAUGAAUUGAAGUCAAGCGCCAACAAGGCCAAGGUGUGGAAGAAAAUAUGCACUGAGUUACAGAAACAUGUACCUCAUAUCUCCGUGCAUAAAUGUAAAGACAAAUGGAAAAACCUGAAGAAGUCUUACCGAAAUCACGUUCAGCAAACAAACAGAACUGGUGCUCAGCCGUCAAAAUGUAAGUUUGCAGACCAGAUGUUCGAAAUGAUGGGGGAUGACCCAAGUGUGGUGCCAGUAUACGUUGCAAGCUCAGAUGCAGCUGCAAUCGAGAGUACGCUAGAUGACAGUACGCAGUCCAGUGUUGUUGAGGCUGAUGAAGAAUUGAAUGAGCAAGGCCGAAAACGCAAAUCGGCGUCAAAUGAUAAUAUUAAAAAAACUAAGAAAAGAAAAGCUUCUGCUAGUUCAAACAUCAUCACAUAUAUGCAAGAGCAUGAUGAUAAGGUUCUUGCGCAGCUAGCCAAAAUGCACAAUAAAACGAUAGCAGUUAUGAAUAAAAUUACAGAUAAACUUUAAUCUGUAAAUUCAUUCAAUGGCUCUGUUAGAGAAGCAUAUAGAAGUAUGUAGUGUUGUUUCUUGAGCUGCUGUGUUUGUGAGUUUUCAUUUUGUAAAUUCUCAAUACAGUGAUCUAAAAAUGUUUUCAGCCUAGCUGGCUGAAUUUCUCUGUUUAUUGAAUAUUCAUAUAUUAUUUAUCUGUAUAUUUCGAUGGAGCAAUAAUUGCAACUGCAAUUGUAAUUUUAUUUUAUUUUGUUUUAUUGCAUACAAGCUUUAAUCUUUAAAUUCAUUCAAUGGCUCUGUUAGAGAAGCAUAUAGAAGUAUAUAGUGUUGUUUCUUGAUCUGCUGUGUUUGCGAGUUUUCAUUUCUAAAAUUUAAACCAGUAAUCUAAAAAUAUCUGCAACCUAGCUGGCUGAAUUUCUCUGUUUAUUGUAUAUUCAUAUAUUAUUUAUCUGUAUAUUUAGAUAGAGCAAUGAUUGCAGCUGCAAUUGUAAUGUUAUUUUAUUUUGAAUUAUUAAACAGAAAACACAUUCAAACACAUGAGUUCAUUGGGU
rnacentral:misc_RNA from 1 species